rnacentral:tRNA from 1 species
UUCCCUGUGGCUCAGUUGGUAGAGCAUGGUGUUUGCAACGCCAGCAUGGUGUGUGCAAUGCCAGGGUUGUGGGUUCGAUUCCCACGAGGGGUC